AAAUUGAAGAGUUUGAUCAUGGCUCAGAUUGAACGCUGGCGGCAGGCCUAACACAUGCAAGUCGAACGGUAACAGGAAGCAGCUUGCUGCUUUGCUGACGAGUGGCGGACGGGUGAGUAAUGUCUGGGAAACUGCCUGAUGGAGGGGGAUAACUACUGGAAACGGUGGCUAAUACCGCAUAACGUCGCAAGACCAAAGAGGGGGACCUUCGGGCCUCUUGCCAUCAGAUGUGCCCAGAUGGGAUUAGCUAGUUGGUGAGGUAACGGCUCACCAAGGCGACGAUCCCUAGCUGGUCUGAGAGGAUGACCAGCCACACUGGAACUGAGACACGGUCCAGACUCCUACGGGAGGCAGCAGUGGGGAAUAUUGCACAAUGGGCGCAAGCCUGAUGCAGCCAUGCCGCGUGUAUGAAGAAGGCCUUCGGGUUGUAAAGUACUUUCAGCGGGGAGGAAGGUGUUGUGGUUAAUAACCGCAGCAAUUGACGUUACCCGCAGAAGAAGCACCGGCUAACUCCGUGCCAGCAGCCGCGGUAAUACGGAGGGUGCAAGCGUUAAUCGGAAUUACUGGGCGUAAAGCGCACGCAGGCGGUCUGUCAAGUCGGAUGUGAAAUCCCCGGGCUCAACCUGGGAACUGCAUUCGAAACUGGCAGGCUUGAGUCUUGUAGAGGGGGGUAGAAUUCCAGGUGUAGCGGUGAAAUGCGUAGAGAUCUGGAGGAAUACCGGUGGCGAAGGCGGCCCCCUGGACAAAGACUGACGCUCAGGUGCGAAAGCGUGGGGAGCAAACAGGAUUAGAUACCCUGGUAGUCCACGCCGUAAACGAUGUCUACUUGGAGGUUGUGCCCUUGAGGCGUGGCUUCCGGAGCUAACGCGUUAAGUAGACCGCCUGGGGAGUACGGCCGCAAGGUUAAAACUCAAAUGAAUUGACGGGGGCCCGCACAAGCGGUGGAGCAUGUGGUUUAAUUCGAUGCAACGCGAAGAACCUUACCUGGUCUUGACAUCCACAGAAGUUUCCAGAGAUGGAUUGGUGCCUUCGGGAACUGUGAGACAGGUGCUGCAUGGCUGUCGUCAGCUCGUGUUGUGAAAUGUUGGGUUAAGUCCCGCAACGAGCGCAACCCUUAUCCUUUGUUGCCAGCGGUUAGGCCGGGAACUCAAAGGAGACUGCCAGUGAUAAACUGGAGGAAGGUGGGGAUGACGUCAAGUCAUCAUGGCCCUUACGACCAGGGCUACACACGUGCUACAAUGGCGCAUACAAAGAGAAGCGACCUCGCGAGAGCAAGCGGACCUCAUAAAGUGCGUCGUAGUCCGGAUUGGAGUCUGCAACUCGACUCCAUGAAGUCGGAAUCGCUAGUAAUCGUGGAUCAGAAUGCCACGGUGAAUACGUUCCCGGGCCUUGUACACACCGCCCGUCACACCAUGGGAGUGGGUUGCAAAAGAAGUAGGUAGCUUAACCUUCGGGAGGGCGCUUACCACUUUGUGAUUCAUGACUGGGGUGAAGUCGUAACAAGGUAACCGUAGGGGAACCUGCGGUUGGAUCACCUCCUUACCUUAAAGAA
rnacentral:rRNA from 1 species